CCUACGGGAGGCAGCAGUGAGGAAUAUUGGUCAAUGGGCGGAAGCCUGAACCAGCCAAGUAGCGUGCAGGAUGACGGCCCUACGGGUUGUAAACUGCUUUUAUACGGGAAUAACGCGCCUUACGUGUAGGGUUUUGCAUGUACCGUAUGAAUAAGGAUCGGCUAAUUCCGUGCCAGCAGCCGCGGUAAUACGGAAGGUCCGGGCGUUAUCCGGAUUUAUUGGGUUUAAAGGGAGCGUAGGCGGGAUGUUAAGCGUGCUGUGAAAUGUUCGGGCUCAACCCGGGCCUUGCAGUGCGUACUGGCGUGCGUGAGUCCGCGGAAGGCAGGCGGAAUUCGUGGUGUAGCGGUGAAAUGCUUAGAUAUGACGAAGAACCCCGAUUGCGAAGGCAGCUUGCUGCAGCGGAACUGACGCUGAUGCUCGAAAGCGCGGGUAUCGAACAGGAUUAGAUACCCUUGUAGUC
rnacentral:rRNA from 1 species